AGGGACUGACUUACAACAUCAGAUAGCUGUCUUCUCCACUAUCUCUGGAGUGAAGCAGUGGUGUUCCUUACAUCGUGCUGAUGGGGAUUCAGAUGAUGUGUGUGUACUGGGCAGUGCAAAAAUUCUGACCUGCUGCGAUGUCCAUGUUGUUGCUGAAACAAGUCUGGACUGACACAAAGCUACACCAAUUUCAGCUGCCACCCAUGCACUACAACUAGUUUCAACCACUGUAGCAUUCAUUCUCUGUGUUAGGAAGAUGUUUCUACAAAAAGAAUCAUAGAAUCACAGAAUCACAAGUUGGAAAGGACAAGAUCAUCUAGUCCAACCAUCCUCCCAUUACCAUUGCUACCACAAGCUACUAAACCAUAUCUCGAAUCUCCUCAUCCAGACGCCUCUUGAACACUGCCAGGGACAGUGACUCCACCACCUCCCUGGGCAGGCCAUUCCAGCGCCCGACCACUCUCUGAGAGAAAGUUUUUCCUUAUGUCUAAUCUAAACGUCCUCUGGUACAACUUGUGGCCAUUCCCUCAGGUCCUGUUUGUUGCUUGGGAGAAGAGGCCAAACUCCUCCUCAUCACAACCUCCCUUCAGGAAGUUGUAGAGCGCAGUGAGGUCUCCCCUGAGCCUCCUCUUCUCCAGACUGAACAAUCCCAGCUCCCUCAGCCGCUCCUCAUAAGACUUGUGCUCCAGACCCCUCAGCAGUUUUGUUGCCCUUCUCUGGACACAUCCCGGGGCCUCAGUGUCUUUCUUGUAGUGAGAGGCCCAAAACUGAACACAAUACUCAAGAUGAGGAAGUGUUUACAAACUAUGGAUAACAUGUGCCGUCAUGCCCCAGAAGGAAAGAGAACCAAGGUAAGCCCUAGUGGGCAGCCUCAGGGAGUUUAAAAAUUGCCAUUCAAAUAUUUGUCAAGAAAGCCUCCUUUUCAAACCAAAUUUGAAAGUCAAUACAAGAAGGACUUCACUCUUGUAAAUUUAGGUUCCCAAUAUAACUGUAUUUGCCACAAUCACUUCUCUUGCAUUUGGCUUCAGGCACUAAGCUUUGCAAAGAGCCACAGAUAGCAAGAAUGCAGUUAUAUUUAAUUCAAAGGUAUAAAAAUAGGAAAUGGAUUCUUUUGAAUGUUCACUUUAUUAUGUUGCUAAUGAAUUAUAAAAUGUAUAUCAUCAAAAUAAAUAUUCUUGAAAUCGCUUCCUAAUGAAUCACUUAGACAAUGUGCCUAUUCAGUUGUGUCAAUGAUUAAUUAUAUUCUUGCCUCCUUCCUGGAAUACAAAUGCUUUUAUUAAAGCAAUCCAAAGACAGUAAGACAACAGACUCAUUCUUAUGGUCAUUCAUUUGGUUGUGGGUUGAUGGAGUAUUCCUUUCAGCGUUUUUAGAGUGUAUCUGAACAGCUGCAAGUAGUGAUGACAUAAAUGAAAGUUCAUGUCAACUUAAGCAGAACGAGAUGGAAGACAUUCUAUUCAUCCAGUUUUAGCUUAUCG
ensembl:lncRNA